GGAAUUUUGGGGAUUUUGGGUGGAACUUUGGGGAUUUCCGUUGGGAUUUGAGGAAUUUCGGGGAUUUUCGGGUGGAAUUUGGGUGAAAUUUUGGGGAUUUGGGGUCUCCCCUCCCCCCAGGUCCGCCAGCCGCUCCGGGGAGAGGAAGAAGAGCAAGAAGAAGAAGCACAGGUCUGAAUCCGAGGCCAAGAAGCGAAAGCACCGCUCGCCCAGCCCCAAGGCCAAGCACAAGGCCAAGGAGAAGAAACGCAAGCGGUAAGCC